AACAAGAUGGCGGUCCAAGUUUAGUGCAGUUUACGUUUGUUGUUUUUCUCCAAUUUGAUAAAUUACAAUUUUAUAAACAAUAAAUAAAUAUCUUAAUUAAUAAAAAUGGGAUCAUCGGAUGUGGACUUUGAAGAUGCAAAAGAUCAAAUAAACAGUAUUGAUACAGAUUCAGAUACAAUGGAUCAACGUAAGAAGAAAAAACGUAAGCACAAACAUCAUAAACAUAAAAAGGAUAAAUUAGCAGUACGUGAUGAUGUUAAAAUUGAUCGUAAAAAACAUAAAAAACAUAAACGUCCAAAAAAAGAACGUUCAAUUGAAAAUGGUGAAGUUAUUGAUGAUACUAAUGAAGAUACAAAUAAAUUAAUUGAAAAAACACAAAUGAAAUUAAUCCAACAACAACAACAAAAUGGUAAUAAAAUAAUAAAUUCAAUAAUGGAAAUACCAUCAACUGAGAGUGAUGAUGAUAAACUAGUUGAUUUAGAUUCUGAUGAAGUUGAUUGUACAAUAAUUGAUGAUGACAUUGAUCUUGAAGAUUUAAUGAAACAAAAAGAACGUUUACAAGCAUGUCUUGUUGAAUAUACAUCUGAUUUAUCAGACAAAGAUGAUCAUAAUAAAACAACAAAAACAAAAACAUCAAUAGCAACAUCAACAACAAAAAUAACAACAGCAAUACCAGAUGUAAUACUUGUUGAAGAUGACAGUAAUGAUGAGCUAACAUUACAUAAAAAACGUCGAUUAAAUUCUUCUUCAACAAUUGAUAAUAAUAAUAAAAAAUUAACAUCAAGUAAAAAUGAAAGACGUGUUGUUAUUGACAUGACACGUGAUAUUAAACGUGUUAAAGAUGAUGGUAAAGAUAAACGUCGUGAUUAUGAUAAAAAACGUGAUGAUAAUAAAUUAAAAUCUUCAAAAGAUGAUUUUAAAAAAAAUGAUAAAUUAGCUAAUAAAAAAAUGACUAUUGAUAGUAAUAAUAAAAUAAGGGAUGAUGGUAAUAAUAAAAGAAAAAUUGAUGAUGAUUUAUCAAGAAAAAAAGAACAACAACAUCAAUUAAAUAAAAAAGAUGAUAUAAGAAAACGUGAUUAUGAUGAUGAACGUAAUAAACGUGAUGAUAGAAGACGUUCAAGAUCACGUGAUGAUUGUAAAAUACGUAAUAGACGUGAUAAUAUUGAUAGUAAUAAUCGUGAACGUGAUAGACGUAGUCGUGAUGAUAGAGAUAGAAGAAAUGACCAACAUAUACGUGAUCAUCGUGAUAAUCGUAAUAAUGAUAAUAAAAUUAAUCGUGAUAGAUCAAGAAGUCAAAGACGUUCACGUAGUCCAAAUCGUUAUAGAAAUGAACGUGAUAGAAAUGAUUUUAGAUACAGAAGAUCAUCAAGAUCACCAUCAAGAAAUCAUCGUAAUAAUUAUGAUCGUCAUAAUAAUAUACGUGAUAAAAAUAAUAAAAAAGAACGUAAUGAUAAAUAUAAAGAUUCAUUAUCAGAAGGUUUAAAAAUUGAUAAAUCAGAUAGUUCAAGUGAAGAAGAAAUUAAAGAUAUUGAUAUUGAAGAAGAAGAAGAUGAAGAAAUUAUUAUUGAACGUAGAAGAAAACAAAGAGAAGAAUUAUUAAAAAGACUUGGUCGUCCUGGUAAUGAUACUACUAAUUUAAAAAUUAAUAAUAAUAGCAAUAAUAAUAAUAAUAAAUCAUCACAAGUAUCUAAAUCAAAUAUAUCACCAAAAAAAAAUGAUAAUAAUAAUCAUGAUAAAGAUGAUGGUGAAGAAGAAGAUGAUGUUGUUGUUGUUAAUAAUAAUAAUAGUAGUAGUAAUAAUAAUAAAAAUAAUAAUAACAAUAAAAGUAAUAGUAACAGUAACAAUAAUAGUAAUAAUAAAAAUGAUAAUGAUGAUGAUGUUAUUGUUGAAAGUCAUACACCACCAUUACCAAUAAAAGAUAAAUCACCAAUUGUUAAAAAACGUAAAUCAAGAUUUGAUCAAGGACCAGUUGUUGAUUGUCAAAAUAAUAAUGAUGAUGUUGAUGAUAAUAAUAGCAGCAAAUUAUUAAAUGAUAAUGAUGAUAAAAAAAAAGAUGAUAAUUGUGUUAAAAAAACAAAUGAAUGGGAUAUGUUUGCUGAAGCUGAUAAUAUUGGUGAUUUUAAUAGUCCAACUGUUGAAGGUAAACAACGUGGUGGUCCUGAUAAUCCAAGUUUAACUGAUAAUUGGGAUGAUGCUGAGGGUUAUUAUCGUGUACGUGUUGGUGAAACACUUGAUUCAAGAUAUAUUGUUUAUGGUUUUACUGGACAAGGUGUAUUUAGUAAUGUUGUUAGAGCAAGAGAUUCAGCAAGAGGUAAUCUUGAUGUUGCUGUUAAAAUCAUUAGAAAUAAUGAAGUUAUGCAUAGAACUGGAUUAAAAGAAUUAGAAGUAUUGAGAAAAUUAAAUGAUGCUGAUCCAGAAGAUCGUUUUCAUUGUCUACGUUUAUUUAGACAUUUUUUUCAUAAAAAUCAUUUAUGUAUGGUUUUUGAACCACUUGCUAUGAAUUUAAGAGAAGUAUUAAAAAAAUAUGGUAAAGAUGUUGGUUUACAUGUUAAAGCUGUACGUUCAUAUACACAACAAUUAUUUCUUGCAUUAAAAUUAUUAAAACGUGCAAAUAUAUUACAUGGUGAUAUUAAACCAGAUAAUAUUCUAGUCAGUGAUAGUAAACUUGUACUGAAACUUUGUGAUUUUGGAUCAGCAUCACAUGCACAUGAAAAUGAAGUUACACCUUAUCUUGUAUCAAGAUUUUAUCGUGCACCUGAAAUCAUUCUUGGUAUACAUUAUGACUUUGGCAUUGAUAUGUGGUCAGUUGGCUGUACAAUAUUCGAAUUAUAUACUGGAAAAAUUAUGUUUUCCGGUAAAACAAAUAAUCAAAUGUUGAAAUAUUUUAUGGAUCUUAAAGGAAAAAUGCCUAAUAAACUCAUAAGAAAAGGAUCAUUUAAAGAACAACAUUUUGAUAGUAAUUGUAAUUUUCUUUAUCACGAAGUUGAUAAAGUUACUGAACGGGAAAAAGUUGUUGUCAUGUCAACAUUGUCACCAUCACGAGAUCUUGGUGUUGAAUUGGGUGUCAAUACAUUGCCACAAGAACAAAAUCGUAAAGUUGGACAACUCAAAGAUUUACUUGAACGUACAUUAAUGUUGGAUGCUGCUAAGAGAAUAACUGUCAAUCAUGCACUGGCACAUCCAUUUAUACAAGAAAAAAUCUAGGUAACCCCGAUUUACUGGGGACCUUAUGUGCACGGAAUUUAUUUCACUGAAAUAAAUCAAAUGAGACAUCGAAAAUGAGAGACAUUGGUUAAAGUGCUUUGGUGGACGUGUAGCUUGAGCCAUUUAGCUGUUCCCGCUGCAAGCCCUCCCUGUGAGGAGGGGAGGCAAGGAGAUGACCAUUUUAUGGAUUAUCAACAUACUGAUCAUCAAUCAUCAAACAUCAACUGGUACUAUUUAACAACGACAUCAACAUUUAUCAUCAACAACAGCUACAACCAGAACAACACAACUUUGGUUUGUUCAUUGUGUAUUUUUUAAUAUUUAAAAACACAAUUUUCAUUGCGAGUAAGUAUUUUUUAUUCAUCAAACAGGUAUGGUAUUAAUUUAUUUUUAUAUUAUUAUUAAAGAGCUAAUAAUUAAUAUUUAAUAGCAUAAUUAUUUUAAUUUUUUAUUGAAAGUAAUUUGAGAGCCAUGUAUAUUUUUUUAUAAAUUAAUUUUUUCAAUUAAAGCUUUAUAAUAUUUUUGGCACUCAAAAUACUUGCAAAUUUUUAUAAUUGAAUGUGAUUUAAUUGUUGUUUUUUUAAAGAUUUCAGAUCGAGAUUGUUGAUUAAAAAAUAUAAAAAUAAUUUUCAAAUACCAGGAAGACAAAAUGAUGGAUGUAUGAAAAAUAAUAAUAAAAAAAAAUUUUUUAAAUUAAUAAAUAUUAUUGGAUUAUUGUUUUAAUAAAUUUAAAUGAAAUUUUU